UAAUCACUCGUUUAUUAAUUGUAGACCUGUAUGAAAGGCAUAAUGAGGGUCUAACUGUCUCUUAUAGUAAAUCAAUUAAACUGAUCUCCCAGUCCAAAAGCUGGAAUACCCACAUAAGACCAGAAGACCCUGUGAAGCUUAAACUAUACUAUUAAAUCCUAUAAUAGCUCCUUUCGGUUGGGGCGACCUUGGAAAAAAAAAGAACUUCCAAAAACAAGUUUCUACCAUAACAUUUUUAGGCCAACAAGCCUACCUUCGACCCAGCAUAGCUGAUAAUUGAACCAAGUUACUCCAGGGAUAACAGCGCCAUCUUCUUCAAGAGCCCAUAUCAAAAAGAAGGUUUACGACCUCGAUGUUGGAUCAGGACAUCCUAAUGGUGCAACCGCUAUUAAGGGUU
rnacentral:rRNA from 1 species